UACGGGGGGGGCAAGCGUUGUUCGGAAUUACUGGGCGUAAAGGGCUCGUAGGCGGCCAACUAAGUCGGAUGUGAAAUCCCCAGGCUCAACUUGGGAACUGCAUCCGAUACUGGAUGGCUUGAAUUCGGGAGAGGAUGCAGAAUUCCAGGUGUAGCGGUGAAAUGCGUAGAUAUCUGGAGGAAUACCGGUGGCGAAGGCGGCAUCCUGGACCGACAUUGACGCUGAGGAGCGAAAAGCUAGGGGAGCAAACGGGG
rnacentral:rRNA from 1 species